UCAAGGUUGGUCUUUUUCUCAAAGGUGAGAUUGAAGCCUUUUUAAGGAUUUGUAUGUGAAGGAGAAGUUGAGAGUCCGCUGGCGCUUGGGGACACUCUCUUUAGAAAAUUAAGUUUAUGAAGAGGCUCCAGGUGGUUGGGGACACUCAAUCGACAUUCAUUAUAUCUUGGAUGGAGUGCUUUUAACAAAUGAAAUCAUUCAUUCAUUGGUGAAAAAAAGAACGUUGGAGGUAUUAUUCUGAAGUUCGAAUUCGAAAAAGAAUAUGAGGGCUUCAUAGAUAGUGUUAUGGUUGCGAUGGGAUUUGGAU
rnacentral:lncRNA from 1 species